UGGAAAAGUACACAGCAUAACAAGAUGGCUCGAAGACGACGCCGAAGACGAGGUCAAGGUGCAGGGAAACGGACAAGCGACGACGGCGCUGCGGCCAAGCGGAGGCAGGAGCGGCUCAUCAACGCCAAGAUCUACCAGUUCUUCUUCGACGCCCUCGAUGCCGCGGCCGACGACCUGGCCAGGAGGAAGAGGGCCGUCGAUCAGGUCUUGGCCGCGUCGC